CCCAACCGGGAUCAUCCCCAACCUCUGCUACAGGGAGGCAAGGGGGAGGCGUGGCGUGCAUCCGGCCGCCUGGCCACGGAUGGCCACACGACCUCCAUCAUGUGGCUCCCCAGGUUGGAUAAGAGCACCGUCCACCGGCCUCUCUCUCUCUUUUGAACCCUAGUCCCCCCAACCUCUGCUACAGGUUUAUCUCGUUCCCCCUCGAACACGAUCUGGUGAAGGAGCGAUGAUACAGUUGCCACUCCAUCAUCGCUGUCGCGGCCAUCAUCGUCUUCUCCGCAUGGGAGGACGUCCAGGAGGCCCGUCGUGGCCGGUUUUGUCCACCCCGAGCACCGAAUCGAGCAGAAUCGUUUCGUGCACUCACCAUUGAGCUGAUCUUCUUCGCAUACAUCGUCAACGUCCGCCGUUGUUUGCCACUGGUCUGGUCCUUCCCAGGCCACCCCGACCACGACCAUGAGUNUCCUGCUAGCUGCUAUGCUUUGCAGGGGCCAUGGCUGUGUGCGUGAGCGUGAGUGUGUGUGCGCUAUGUGUGAGCGUGAGAGUGUGUGUACAAUUAGUUUGGACUAAUUUUAUAUUAGUUAGGAGUUAACUUGCUAGUUUAGUUAGUGUGUCAAUGACAUGUGGACCCCAAUGCCUAAAAUAACCUUUCACCUAAAAUAUGUCACUCGCGUUCAGGUCCCACAAGCACUAUUUCCCUUUUUGACGAGUCAACUUGACUUGUCAAUUCGGAUUAUGUAAAUGCUGAAAAUUUCAGAAAUUCGAUAAAAUUUGAAAAAAUCAUAUAAAAUAAACGUAACUCGGAUGAAAAUAAAUUAUAUAUCACAAAUUAUCAGAAAAAUAGGAUGAAUCCGACUAUGUCAUCCAUAUGUGUGUGAGCCCCCUCUAACAUUGUGAACAUGAACAUUUUGUAUUAGGAUCAUCUGUCCGAAAAAUACCUGGAGCCGGGAAAAUAUUGCCACAUAUUUUCCCCUUCUUUUAAAAUGCUUAGUGAUGCAUUAGAGCAUGUUACCCACACAUAUUACCGUGCCAUUGCAUUUGUGUAUCAUUAGAUUGCUUGGUCAUUUACUUGUUUCCCCCUUAAUCAUUCAUAUAUUGCCUAUUAUUUCCGAUCUUGAUCUAGAUACUGCGAUAGACCCCAAGACCGAUGUCGAUCCGGUGAUCGACUACUUCACCAUCGAGGGUCCAUAUGUAUUCGUGGAGCAACCAGGCAAGCAAACCCCCUUAAUCAGUCCUAUAUCGCCUAUUAUUUCUUCCUUAUGCUUGCAUUAGAAUUUUGCUACUAUUGUAGUUAGCUCCUAUAUUUGAUGCAUAGCAUGUUUUUGAUAAACUGCUACAUUAUUUUUCUGCACCUUAAACUAUUUAGUAUAGGUGGGGCAGUCAUCCCCUUUGCCCCCUUAGUCCAGUUGCCCCCGCUUUAUCGUCAAGUCUCAAUCAACUGAUCAAAGAGCCAAGACCCGACACAUCACUCACACCCCCCUUAGUUGUACGACGUUGCAGAGCUACUAUCGCGUACCGAGGGUGACACAUCGUUACGUACUCCGAUGUUAGCGUUGUAGUGUAGUUGACCGGCGGUGGUUCUCGGAGGGUGAUUCCUCAUUCACCACUUCCGAUAACGACUAUGUCAUACAACCCAUGAAGCGUGGCCCAUCGAGGGUGAUUCCUCCCUGACCACCUUGACGGUUCCAUCUUUUAGAAUCCAACGAGUGUGAUACCUCGGAUCCCCCCUGAUGUUACAACCACACAUUUACUUGACCAUGUUACUGGGAACAUUGAUGAAUAAAUGUUAGCCGGGUGGAUUCCCGCGUGGAUUUGUCGAUGAGUUAAUUAAAAUGUUAAUGGAUUUGGGUAUUUGAUCUGGGUUGGUCGGAGACCUUAUUCGCACUAACCGUCUACGUGGGAGAAGUUAUGGGUACUCGACGGCGUGGUAUGAGCCGAAUCUCUUCAGACUUCAGCAAUGGAGCGGCGCGCGCCCGAGUGGUCUGGAUUAUCAUCGUUCUUGUAUAAGAGGUGCCACGACUGACAUCGGCGACCCAUGCAACGUGCAGGAGUGCAAUGGGUGAUGGGCCCAUGACCCCUGCGUGCUUAGGAUUUAGACCGACAGGCUGGCCUCUGUGUUGAGUCUAGGCGGGGCUGCGACGUGUCGAUGUUCCGAGGCCGGGAAUGACCCAACAAAGUGUGUCUGACCAGAGUUUAUCGAGCAUGACGAGGAAUAUGUGGUGCACCCAUGCAGGGAAGAACUUGUAUAUUCGAAUAGCCCUGUCCACGAUUACAGGACGACUUGGAGUUGUGCCCCGUUCUUAUACAACUACAACGGUUACUUAACUGGAAUGUUGCUCCAGGAUUGCUUCCUCGCACGGAGUCGAGGAAGGAUCUCUGGACGUGACUUUAAUUAAUAUUGCUGCAACAAUAUGACUAUUAAUUGUGUUACCGGUUCUACUCUCGUCUAUUGUUGCACGACCCCUUGAAGAUGCUAGUCUUCGAUAGGACUAGGCCUUCCCUCUCUAUUCUUGCAUUGCUGCAGUCAGUCCACAUAUAACCCCUUCCUUAGAAGCCGGUGCAUACUUAGCAUAGUUCUGAUGUUAGUCUUGCGAGUACUUUGGAUGGGUACUCACUGUUGCUUUGCUUUCCCUUUUUCUUCUCGAUCCGUUGUUGCGACCAGAUGAUGGAGCCCAGGAGAUGGCGUAUCCCGCCGAUGAUGACUGCUACCCCCCCUCCCGACGGAGCCUGCUACUGUGUGGAGGUUGCUGAUGACCAGGAGUAGUUAGGAGGUUCCCAGGCAGGAGGCCUCGCCUCACUCGAUCGUUGAAUCUUUUGUGCUAGCCUUCUCUAAGGCAUCUCAUGUUUCAUGCCGGUACUAAGAUAUUUGUUGCUUCCCUGACUUGUGUGUUUAUCGAGCUUCUGUAUUCUAGCCCUCGAGGCCCUUGGCUUGUAAUAUGAAGCUUGUAUGUUUUAUUUGUGUC
rnacentral:lncRNA from 1 species